CGCACGUCCGCCCCAGCGGGGGUUUAAGAAGAGCAGGAGUCUCCUUAUCAGUGGAGCUGUUUCAGUGUAACUCACUAAAGGUCAAGGCGCCUCACUCUCGCAAAUAAUGGUGCGUUCCAGUUGUAGUCAAGUUGCAAAGAUGGAACGAUUAGACAAAAUCAGACUUCCUUCUGGGAGAGCGGGAGCAACUGCAACUGCACCCCAGUUACGACUCGUAAGGCCGACUGUGUGUUUCAACAUGGCCGCUCUUUGCGUCAACAAUACUGUUGCACAUCUCACACGUUUCCAGUCCAGUGACCCCCGCCACAGUGUUUAUGCUUUUUCUCUCAGUCAUCGGCGAAAUCAGCAGAGUCUCCAUAAUAUCUCCCUGAUUUCCCCUCCGUGUUGCCUCAAGUGUUGCUGAGUAAAUGCACAGCCUGGCAUUGGGCCUGUGGUGCACCUUCAGCUGCAGCGGAGGAAGUGGGUGGAUGUUUUUGCUUGGCUCCUGGGGGACACUCAAAGCCAGCAAGCCAUACUUCCAAAUGUACAUGACUGCUCUCACUCCUUUGAGUCCACGCAUGACCUUCCACCCCCACCACCGAAAUCAAUGGGCCCUUUCACUGAUUGCCCCUCAUAAUGACCCCCUGUUUGAGUCCAGAGUUAUCGAGGGGGCUGGAAGAAGAAACAAUUUCAUUCUGCAACUUGUCUGUCGAGCAGCACGUUGGAGACAUAAAGUAACGAUAACAAGAUGGAACUUUAUAUUUGAUUAUCUUGUGAAGAGUGCUACAGUAUGUGUAGUUUCAAGGCUGUUCCAAGCAGUAUGUCACUUUGACAAAUUAAAUUUUGUUUUUAAACAUAUUGUUGAAACUGUCACUAUGCUGUGACAGUAUGGUAUGAGAUCAGAGCCGGUGGGGUGGGGUCCUUGGGGGUGUUAGCGCUGUCAAUCACCCCUAUGUACCUGAAAUGAAAUAAAAUGGAAUUAAAUUUCUAUUUUAUUUUUUAAAACAAAAAUGCAUUUUUAAAAAAGUGCUCAAGAUUGAACAUUUAAAUGUUGACUGUGUGUAUAAAGUGUAUUUGUAAGCAAAACAAGCAGAUUUGUAAUUUUUACAAUGCUAUCCAUUUGGUCUUUGGGGGAUAUUACUAAAAUUACCUUACAAAGACAGUAAAUAUUUUUGCUCCGAAAAGGGAGA